AUUGAACGCUGGCGGCAGGCCUAACACAUGCAAGUCGAACGGUAACAGGAAGCAGCUUGCUGCUUCGCUGACGAGUGGCGGACGUGUGAGUUAUGUCUGUGAAACUGCCUGAUGGAGGGGGAUAACUACUGGAAACGGUAGCUAAUACCGCAUAACGUCGCAAGACCAAAGAUCUGGACCUUAGGGCCUCUUGCCAUCGGCUGUGCCCAGAUGGGAUUAGCUAGUAGGUGGGGUAACGGCUCACCUAGGCGACGAUCCCUAGCUGGUCUGAGAGGAUGACCAGCCACACUGGAACUGAGACACGGUCCAGACUCCUACGGGAGGCAGCAGUGGGGAAUAUUGCACAAUGGGCGCAAGCCUGAUGCAGCCAUGCCGCGUGUAUGAAGAAGGCCUUCGGAUUGUAAAGUACUUUAAGCGGGGAGGAAGGGAGUAAAGUUAAUACCUUUGCUCAUUGACGUUACCCGCAGAAGAAGCACCGGCUAACUCCGUG
rnacentral:rRNA from 1 species